rnacentral:rRNA from 1 species
GAUGAACGCUGGCGGCGUGCCUAAUACAUGCAAGUCGAGCGAAUGGAUUAAGAGCUUGCUCUUAUGAAGUUAGCGGCGGACGGGUGAGUAACACGUGGGUAACCUGCCCAUAAGACUGGGAUAACUCCGGGAAACCGGGGCUAAUACCGGAUAACAUUUUGAACCGCAUGGUUCGAAAUUGAAAGGCGGCUUCGGCUGUCACUUAUGGAUGGACCCGCGUCGCAUUAGCUAGUUGGUGAGGUAACGACUCACCAAGGCAACGAUGCGUAGCCGACCUGGGAGGGUGAUCGGCCACACUGGGACUGAGACACGGCCCUGACUCCUACGGGAGGCAGCAGUAGGGAAUCUUCCGCAAUGGACGAAAGUCUUACGGAGCAACGCCGCGUGAGUGAUGAAGGCUUUCGGGUCGUAAAACUCUGUUGUUAGGGAAGAACAAGUGCUAGUUGAAUAAGCUGACACCUUGACGGUACCUAACCAGAGAGCCACGGCUAACUACGUGCCAGCCGCCGCGGUAA